rnacentral:rRNA from 1 species
GCCAGACUCCUACGGGAGGCAGCAGUGGGGAAUAUUGCACAAUGGGGGAAACCCUGAUGCAGCGACGCCGCGUGAGCGAUGAAGUAUUUCGGUAUGUAAAGCUCUAUCAGCAGGGAAGAAGAUGACGGUACCUGACUAAGAAGCCCCGGCUAACUACGUGCCAGCAGCCGCGGUAAUACGUAGGGGGCAAGCGUUAUCCGGAUUUACUGGGUGUAAAGGGAGCGUAGACGGCGAUGCAAGCCAGAUGUGAAAGCCCGGGGCUCAACCGCGGAAUGGCUUUGGAAACUUUUUUGCUGGAGUACCGGAGAGGUAAGCGGAAUUCCUAGUGUAGCGGUGAAAUGCGUAGAUAUUAGGAGGAACACCAGUGGCGAAGGCGGCUUACUGGACGGUAACUGACGUUGAGGCUCGAAAGCGUGGGGAGCAAACAGGAUUAGAUACCCUAGUA